rnacentral:lncRNA from 1 species
CGCGGGGGCGCUGAACGGCGGAGCGGGAGCGGCCGGAGGAGCCAUGGACUGCAGCCUCGUGCGGACGCUCGUGCACAGAUACGUCUUCAGAUAAACUCAACCAAUUGUCAACCAGAAGAUGUUUAAAUUUACCUAUAGCCUGGAAGCCCCUCGCUUUGAGUUGUCUCGCCUUUCUGAACCAAACCAAUGUAUUUCUUAAAUGUAUUUAAGUCUCAUGCCUCCCUAAAAUGUAUAAAACCAAGCUGCGCCCGACCACCUUGGACACAUGUUCUCAGGACAUCCUGAGGGUUGUGCCACUCAUAUUUGGCUCAGAAUAAAUCUCUUCAGAUA